rnacentral:lncRNA from 1 species
CAUGAACCAGAAAAGCAGAGAUUCUGCUUGGCAGAACUAAAGGGGAGGUCUCAGGUUCUAGGUAACAGUCAGGAAGUAGUCAUGUUGAUGGAGCUUAUGAGCCAGAAAAACAUGAACGGUCAAAGGACAAAGAGAUCCACAGGAAAUAAGGAGCAGGGCAAGAAACUAGAAGAAGCAAAUGGCACUGACAAGGCAAACGGAAGCAUUAUUGUCCACCUGCCCUCUUAACUCAUUAAGACAAAGUCCACGGUGAAUCUCAGUCAACGGUGACUGAAAGCAGCUGAUUUGGUAGUUAAUGCAGUUGCAGGGGCAGGGGGCAUGGACAGACAGUUGUCUGCGGCAGUAGGAAGUAGGGGUGGGCAGAAGGCACUUCAGCCAACCUCCUCCCACUCUAACAAGCACAGUGCUGCUGUGGAAUGCCGCAAGUGUGUGCGACGGGCCUGGUGGAUUGACUGCAGUGAGCUGGACUGUAGAGCUGAGAUGUGUCCAGAACAGCGGUUUCCCAUCAAGGACAUAGGAAGCCAUGCCGACGUGGGGGAGAAAAAUAGAGAUCAGUGA